rnacentral:rRNA from 1 species
GACGAACGCUGGCGGCGUGCUUAACACAUGCAAGUCGAACGGAAAGGCCCUGCUUGCAGGGUACUCGAGUGGCGAACGGGUGAGUAACACGUGGGUGAUCUGCCCUGCACUUCGGGUUAAGCCUGGGAAACUGGGUCUAAUACCGGAUAGGAGCCAUUUUUAGUGUGAUGGUUGGAAAGUUUUUUCGGUGUAGGAUGAGCUCGCGGCCUAUCAGCUUGUUGGUGGGGUAAUGGCCUACCAAGGCGGCGACGGGUAGCCGGCCUGAGAGGGUGGACGGCCACAUUGGGACUGAGAGACGGCCCAGACUCCUACGGGAGGCAGCAGUGGGGAAUAUUGCACAAUGGGCGCAAGCCUGAUGCAGCGACGCCGCGUGGGGGAUGACGGCCUUCGGGUUGUAAACUCCUUUCGCUAGGGACGAAGCUUUUUGUGACGGUACCUAGAUAAGAAGCACCGGCUAACUACGUG